UGUAUGCACUAGGGGAGCUUUUGCUGAGAUGUUUAAAAACAGACCCUCAUAACUUGAUCCGGUUUAUACUGGCGUAAGGAAGUGUUCAAUAGCCAUU
rfam:Aerococcus viridans ATCC 11563 = CCTG 4311 strain ATCC 11563 contig00180, whole genome shotgun sequence.